ensembl:lncRNA
GAACUCUUGGCGUGUGGAGCGCACAGGAAAACAUAAAUAUAUCAGCAGUUCUGUGUUUGGCUUUCUUCUGUACAGUUUGUUCUUUUUUUUUUUUUUUUGGUUAGUAUAAAGCAGGAAGUCUGCAUCUCAUUACAUUCAUGACAGAAACACUACCUGAAAACACACACAAGAGCUUCAGAAGAACUGAAUCUACUAACAACAGAGAAGAUCACUGAAGAAGAGAGAAGAAUGAAGAUCAUCUGGACUUUCACUCUGCUGAUGAUUCCUGGUACCAUGACCUCAGUCAGUGUGGCUGGAAAUUCAGGAUAUAAAGUCAACAUGACAUGCACAUAUGAUAGCAAUGACAAAGAAAAGUAUUUUUGUAAAGUACAGUGGUCAGAGUGCACAGAAGUGAAUCUGACCAUUAUAUUAGCAGUCACAGCAACCGACCUAUCACAAGAUGCGAGGGAAGGUAGGCCUAAUUAGUUAUUUUAAUUUUUAUUUGAUGGAUUGAUUGAUUGAUUGAUAUACUGUAUUUUAGAGUUGUAAUGUUAUGGUUUACAAUUUACAGUGUCUCUGUUAAUAAAACAUGCAAUUCAAAUUACA